GACGAACGCUGGCGGCGUGCUUAACACAUGCAAGUCGAACGGAAAGGCCCUGCUUUUGUGGGGUGCUCGAGUGGCGAACGGGUGAGUAACACGUGAGUAACCUGCCCUUGACUUUGGGAUAACUUCAGGAAACUGGGGCUAAUACCGGAUAGGAGCUCCUGCUGCAUGGUGGGGGUUGGAAAGUUUCGGCGGUUGGGGAUGGACUCGCGGCUUAUCAGCUUGUUGGUGGGGUAGUGGCUUACCAAGGCUUUGACGGGUAGCCGGCCUGAGAGGGUGACCGGAGACAUUGGGACUGAGAUACGGCCCAGACUGCAACGGGAGGCAGCAGUGGGGAAUAUUGCACAAUGGGCGGAAGCCUGAUGAAGAAACGCCGCGUGCGGGAUGACGGCCUUCGGGUUGUAAACCGCUUUCGCAUGUGACGAAGCGUGAGUGACGGUAAUGGGUAAAGAAGCACCGGCUAACUACGUG
rnacentral:rRNA from 1 species